UCUCUCAUUGCUUGGCUCUUUCCAACAGCUUCUCUCACCUGUUCCUGACUUCUCUUUAUCAGAUAGCUCCGGCUAACCUCCAUCCUUUCCAAGAAUGGUGUUCACUUAUGCCUUUCCAUUCGGUGCCACCCCUUUUGAGCCCAUCACUCUGCUGUGUGACCAGUCCUAUGGAGUCAAGUCUUGCAGCAUCCCAUCCAGCUGUGUUCCUUGUGGACCCACCAUUCCAGUGAGCAGCUGCCAGCCCUGCUCUGUCCAAUCCUGUGCUGUUCCGUGUGGGCCUGUCAUUCCAGUUAGCAGCUGCCAGCCGUCCUCUGUCCAAUCCUGUGCUGUUCCGUGUGGGCCCAGCAUUAAAGUUAGCAGCUGCCAGCCCUCCUCUGUCCAAUCCUGUGCCAGUCCGUGUGGGCCUGUCAUUCCAGUUAGCAGCUGCCAGCCCUCCUGUGUCCAACCCUGUGCCAUUCCAUGUGGGCCCACCAUUAAAGUUAGCAGCUGCCAACCCUCCUCAGUCCAAUCCUGUGCCAAUCCAUGUGGGCCUGUCAUUCCAGUUAGCAGCUGCCAGCCCUCCUGUGUCCAACCCUGUGCUGUUCCAUGUGGGCCUGUCGUUCCAGUUAGCAGCUGCCAGCCCUCCUGUGUCCAACCCUGUGCCGUUCCGUGUGGGCCUGUCAUUCCAGUUAGCAGUUGCCACCCCUCCUGUGUCCAACCCUGUGCCGUUCCAUGUGGGCCUGUCAUUCCAGAUAGCAGCUGCAAGCCUGCUUGCCACCAAACCUGUGUCAUUCCGAGUGGGCCCAUCUAUCCAGUGAGCAGUUGCCAGCCCUCCUAUGUCCCAGUUAGUGUACAGUCCUGCAAUCCUUCUUGCCAUCCUUGCUAAAUCACCACGGGACAACUUCUCUGCUAUAUGACCACGUCAGGAAUUGAAAAUUAUGGUCCGGAUUCAUGGCUAAGCUUAUGUAUUAUCAGUUAUCAAAACUGCUGAGUUUUCACAGAUCCAUCUAAGGUAGUUUAUGGGUGUUUGGUAUCAAAAGUUCUGAGCUUUCAAAAUUCUAUCAAAGGUCUACCCUUUUCUGUGACUACUUAGCACCCUUGACACCCAGUCCCAGGGUUGUAAGAUUCUGCCUCUCCUUGUCAGACACAAAUUCCUUUGUCAGCUUUUAUGCUAGCUCUGUUCAUCAGGGGUUCUGUUUGGUGUGAUUUUUUUUAUCAAAACACCCUUCAAAGGAAGAAUAUCAAUGUUCUCACAAUAUUAGGGAUAGACAACUCAUUGUUCAUCCUUACUCAGCUCUUUUCAGCUCAUGGUUCAUUCCUUGGAUUUCUACCAUUAGGAUGUGAUAGAUGAUCGUAUCACAGAUGCAUGAUGGGUAAUGUCUUCCAAGGAAUAGGCUCUCUUGCAGUGAUCAUUAUCAUCAUGUGAAAAAAAUGUAGUUCUGUAGAUCCAUGGAUGGACUCAUUUGGAGGAUACCCUUACCCCUAAGAACCCCAAGGCUAUUGGAUGAUAUUUGCUACUGCCUUUUGGAAUGAUAACAUAUUUAGCAGCAGCAGCAGCAACAACAACAUUGGGUUGAAUCCAUCAUCAAUCAUAUUCAGGGUAGAGUCACUGAAAUUAAUAGACAGGACUACCUUAAGUCCAUUCGUUUUACUGGGCCUAUUCUGAGCUGAACUUGGUGAGUUACAAGUCCAAGUGUAGAACCCAUAAUCCAUUUUUCUCCAGACACAGCUGCAAAUCUGCACACAUUUUGUCUUGAGAUGUGAAGGUCUGGAAAAAUGUUCCCCCCUUUUUCUUCUUUUAGAUAGAUAGAUAGAUAGAUAGAUAGAUAGAUAGAUAGAUAGAUAGAUAGAUAGAUAGAUAGAUAGAUAGAUAGAUAGGGGGGGAUUGAUUUAUUUUCCCAUUUUUUUCUGGCUGUUCACAACUCUAAUUUUGUCUCCACAAGGACUAUAUAUUCAUGUAAGAAGUGGCCAUGGGGCCAUGGGCUGGGAACGCAAAUAAAGACCAGGACCUCUGGUUCUAUUCUGAUAUUUUGUUGUCAUAACUCUAUCCUGCUUAAUUCAUUAAAGAAAAAAAACAGCGGCUGUUCAUUUCUCUGCUUGAUGUGCCGCUGAAACUGCAAGUGGGCUCAGUCUAUUUCCUUCAUGUUUCUUUCCCAAUAAAAUCUACUUUACUGCAUGGAAA